ACAUAGGCAGCCUAGGGAGGGUAGGGCGUGUGCCUUGUAAGCGCUAGACCGCGGGUUCGAUUUCCGCCCAGGGCG
rnacentral:tRNA from 1 species